CAGCUCAAAAUUCUGCACCAAACGUCCCAAAGUAAUCCCCAGAAUUGGCAAUGCAAGAAUAAUUCCAGGGCAGCUCCUCCUUCCAACUCCAAACGGCAGGUACCUGAAGUCAUUUCCACUGGCCUCAACCUUGGAUUCCUCUUCCAGGAACCUCUCUGGCCUGUACUCUUCAGGAUUCUUCCACUGAGCAGGAUUGUUGGCGAGCCACCAUGCAUUGACCAGAAUCUUGCUCUCAGCAGGAAUGUCAUAGCCACCAAGCUUUGCGUCAUGGAGAUUCAUGUGAGGGACAAG
rnacentral:lncRNA from 1 species